GGUUAAAAGUGAAUUUAAGAAGAGGAGAGGAAAAGACCUUGUAAAGGGAGACACCAAUAAAUGUUUCCAGCACUGCUGUGGCACAAGUAUUCUAAUCUCGGACUCUAUUACACCAUUAGCUAGAGAGAAUGGUGGCAGUUGGAGGCAGUUGAGAGAAUUAGAUGAGAUUAGAAUUAGAGAUUUUUUAAGUCCCUGCUAAUUGUAACCUCUGAGAUACAUCUUACUUUCCAUAUAACAAGAUCCUGUCUGAAAUGCUGGCCUAGACUGAGUUGCCACGCAUUCCUUAGAAGUGGAGAAAAAGAUGAAUAUGCUGGGAAGACAUUUGAUUGCUUGAGACUUCAGCCAUAGUUUUGCUUUCACAAAAGCUACUAUUACGGUUUUAACUAUUCUUCUUACAAAUGGAGAAUUAUGGGUAUCAAGAAAGAGG